CUGGGACGCGGGUGCCUGUGGUAGGGGAGCAAGCACUAAUUUCUACAUAAUUUGAAUCUUCAGCUUCAUGCUGUUUUUUUGGCUAAUGAUACUUUGUCACUAAAUCACUGUAGACUUUGCAAAGUGCCUCCUCCAUAAUCUUAUGUGAUCUUAUACCUGGAGGCACACAAGGUAGGUGCUAUUGUUCCUGUUUCAUAGGUGAGGAAACUAAGAUGCAGGGAGGCUGAGCAAAAUGCCCCAAAUUACAGUCAAUUACGGCAGAACAGGGACUCCCAUCUGCUUUCUGCUGCCUUUCCAAUGACCUACAUCUGCCUACCAGCACCUUGACUGUGGGCCCAGGGAGAGGAGUCUAACCGCCUUCCAGAGCUGGAGAGGUGGUACACUUGAACACUGUGUGAAGACACUGCCUUCAUCAUUUCUUGGGAAGUCCUGAAUUACCCCGAGCAGGCUGACCUUGGAUGAAUCGUCCA
rnacentral:lncRNA from 1 species